rnacentral:misc_RNA from 1 species
UUGAUCAACGGCGCAGCGCCCAGCGACCUCCCCGCCCUAACCAGUACCGUCCACUUCCAGAUCGACGGACGCGCCCGCGUCUUCUACCUACCGACGGCUAAACGCAGCGGCGCGGCUCCGCCCAGUGGUGCCCCUCGCCGGGAAGAUCCAGUGGUCGAGGACGGUGAAAUCGACAGCGAGGGAGGCGUAGAUGGGGACGUCGCCGGGCUUGAAUCCGCCCAUGGCGUGCUGCGACCCACCGAGGAGCGGAGAGGUACGGUGGGGCAGGAGCUUGGGGCCGAGGAGAGUGUGGAUCCGCGACCAUGGACGAGCAUGACGUCCAAGAGUCAAGGCGCAGGGGAAAAUGUUGACAAGGGUACCCCUGGUGACUCCAAUGAUAUCAAGCCUAUGUACAACUUAGGGAAGAGGAAGACGUACAUGACUGAUGAAUAUGUUGUUGUGUUCAAUGGGAUGAAAGAGGUUGUAUCUGAUGUUCCUUAUGUUGUUCGUGAAAGCAUCCAUGUUGAGGCAGCACCUAGGAUCUACAAUGAUGUAACCAAAUGUCUUGGGUUCUCUAGGGAGGCUCUCAUGUAUGCCAUGAACCACAUGAUGGAGCACAAAGGCCACCUCCCUGGUGUUCCUGGAUAUGACUCCUGA